rnacentral:tRNA from 1 species
UCCCUCAUAGCUCAGCUGGUAAAGAAUCUGCCUGUAAUGCAGGAGACCUGGGUUCAAUUCCUGGAUUGGGAA